rnacentral:rRNA from 1 species
UUGCCUACGGGACGCAGCAGUGGGGGAUAUUGGACAAUGGGGGAAACCCUGAUCCAGCGAUGCCGCGUGAGGGAAGAAGGUUUUCGGAUUGUAAACCUCUGUGGAGGGGGACGAUAAUGACGGUACCCCUUUAGGAAGCCACGGCUAACUACGUGCCAGCAGCCGCGGUAAUACGUAGGUGGCGAGCGUUGUCCGGAAUUACUGGGUGUAAAGGGAGCGUAGACGGCGGAACAAGUCAGAAGUGAAAACCCGGGGCUCAACCCUGGGAGUGCUUUUGAAACUGUUUGGCUGGAGUGCAGGAGAGG